AGCAGUUCUCCUGCCUCAGCCUCCCAACUAGCUGCGGUUACAGGAAAAGAAGACCCGGACUUUGUUGAAGUAAUCUACCUUUAAGGGCUGUGCUAACAGGAAGGCCUGUGAUGUUUGCAAUCAAGCCAUUAUGAAGUCAAGAAUGGAGCUUCCAUUUUUAAAGAACUCAGAGGGGGCAGAUCUUGAUUGACAUCUCAUCUGGGGUCACCUGGUCUUCAAUUGAGAGAUCUUUUUGUUCGCCACUGAUGCCUCUUGCAGUUAUGGAAGCUUCCCUGACCAGAGGUCAUUUUGAAUUUCCUUCUCUGAAAUUUGGCCACUGAGGAGAGACACAUAGGAGAGAAGAUGUGAAUGCUGAGUCAUCAGUCAGCAUCCCUGGGAAGAAAAAGCCUCUCAGUUUCUUCUCCUGGGAAUCCAAGAGCUGGAGUAUUUUCUGCUCUUCCUAAGGACUCUCUUCUGUUCCCUUGGUCUACUUGUCUAACUUGACUCCAGUACCACAGUGUCUUGCUGCAGCUUUAUACACUUUGAAAUCAGGUGUAUGGUAAACUAAACAAUCCAAAAACCAUGUAGCUCCACAAUAAUCAGAAAUUCUGGAUCCAGUAAAACAAGUCUCCUUUAAGACACGGCUGAAUGCUGGAAGAAAGUACAAAAAGUUCCUGGAGUCAAAAAUGAAGUGAGAAGGAAAAAUGAGAGCAUUUCCUCCUAAGCCAUACUGGUCUGCACUGUUCUUCAUAUAUCAGGUUCAAGCUAAUGGAUCCAAACCAAAGGACUCCAUAUUCUCCAAAGCCUUGAUCUUGGAAACCGUGUAUUGAAGAUAGUGAAGCCACAGAUGGAAGGCACCUGGAUCCAGUUUUAAAAGAGCUGCCUGCCAAUCAGGAACACCCUUUUUGAACUUUGAGGAUGUGUUUUAAUUCUCAUAUUCCUGCAUAACAAACAACUCCAAAUUUAGUGGAUUAAAACAAUAAUUUAUUAUAAUCCCUAUAAAUUCUGUGAAUUGACUGGGUUUAGCAGGGUGGAUCUCACUUGGGGUGAUAUAUGAUUGCAGUCAGAUGUGGGCAUUUUUCUUUUAAUUUUUAUUCACUGCCUAGAUCCUUUACUGGCCCCUGGGAAAUACAUUAUUAAAAAUUCAUAUUUUUGGCCAGGCGCAGUGGCUCACGCCUGUAAUCCCAGCACUUUGGGAGGCCGAAGCGGGUGGAUCACGA